UACGGAGGGUGCAAGCGUUAUCCGGAUUCACUGGGUUUAAAGGGAGCGUAGGUGGCCAAAUAAGUCAGUGGUGAAAUCCUGUUGCUUAACAACAGAAUUGCCAUUGAUACUGUAUGGCUUGAGUAUAGUUGCCGUUGGCGGAAUAUGACAUGUAGUGGUGAAAUACAUAGAGAUGUCAUAGAACACCGAUUGCGAAGGCAGCUGACGAAACUAUAACUGACACUGAGGCUCGAAAGUGCGGGGAUCAAACAGG
rnacentral:rRNA from 1 species